rnacentral:rRNA from 1 species
GAUGAACGCUAGCGGCAGGCCUAACACAUGCAAGUCGAGGGGGAAGUUACUUUUGGGUGACUGAGACCGGCGUACGGGCGCGUAACGCGUAUACAAUUUGCCUUUCACUGGCGGAUAGAUCGCAGCAAUUUGGUUUAAUACAUCCUAGUUUAUAGGGCCGGCUUCGUUUUUAUGUUAAAGAUUAGGCGGUGAAAGAUGAGUAAGCUUGCUAUUAGCUAGUUGGUGAGGUAACGGCUCCCCACGGCGAUGUUAGAUAGGGGUUCUGAGAGGGAUGUCCCCCACACGGGGACUGAGAUACGGACCAGACUCCUACGGGAGGCAGCAGUGAGGGAUAUUGGACAAUGGUCGGAAGACUGAUCCAGCCAAGCCUCGUGCAGGAUGAAGGUCUGAUGGAUUGUAAACUGCUUUUGUAAGGGAGGAAUAAGGGCUACGCGUAGUUUGAUGACGGUACCGUACGAAUAAGCAACGGCUAACUCCGUG